CCUACGGGUGGCAGCAGUGGGGAAUUUUGCGCAAUGCUCGUAAGAGUGACGCAGCGACGCCGCGUGAAUGACGAAGGCCUUCGGGUCGUAAAGUUCUUUCGACAGGGAAGAAAAUGCCUAUAAGUAACUGUGUAUGUAUUGACGGUACCUGUAUAAGCAGCCCCGGCUAACUCCGUGCCAGCAGCCGCGGUAAUACGGAGGAUGCGAGCGUUAUCCGGAUUUAUUGGGUUUAAAGGGUGCGUAGGCGGAAUGCCAAGUCAGCGGUAAAAUCGCGGGGCUCAACCUCGCUCCGCCGUUGAAACUGGCGUUCUUGAGUGGGCGAGAAGUAUGCGGAAUGCGUGGUGUAGCGGUGAAAUGCAUAGAUAUCUGGAGGAACAUCAGUGGCGAAGGCGACUAUCUGGCACAUAACUGACGCUGAGGAGCGAAAGCGUGGGUAGCAAACAGGAUUAGAUACCCCAGUAGUC
rnacentral:rRNA from 1 species